UGAGAGCAGAAGCAUUGGAAGCUGUCUGAGAGGAACCAUGGUCACCAUCUCUGAACAAGACCAUGGGCUCUCUGAGGAACCUGAGGACACGUCUUUGGACCGGAGGGAGCGCAGGAAGAGAUUUGCAUAUCAAAAACAUGGCGAGAGGAGGGUUCAAGAAGUCAUGCCCUGCAUGUCAGGCAAACAUCUUUAAUGGCUGUAAAGUGUGCCCCAUGUGCAAGGCACCACAGCCACAAAAACUGAGGCUUAAAAAAAAACUUGAAAAGUUUAAAAAAGAAAAAGAUACUUGGGUGGCCAACACAAAGAAAAACCAGAUCACCUCGCACCUGAUGGAUGAUGCGGUCAUUCUGAUGGAGAAGCUGAAUGCGGUGGGCUGGAAGCCCAUCCUCCUUCUGGAAUAUCCGAAGAAGGAGGCAAGGAUGCUCCUCCCAGAAGGCCUCGUUCCAAGUGUGGGGGGAAAGGAAAUGUCUCGAUGACAUUGAAGAAAUGUACACCUUCAUGAUUGAAGCUCUUUCAGAAACUCUCCUUUCAGCCAGCCCCACCACCACCACCACCACCACCACCACCACCAUUGAGGGCCCAGAGACUGGGGUUAAACCUGAGACGGUGGAGACUGUCCUGUCAGCCAGCCCUACCACCAACAACUGGGGGACAGAGCCUGGCAACAAACGGAAGAGACGCCCAAGUACAAAAGUGGACACUCUCCCGACAACAAGCCCUACCACCACCAACAGGGGGACAGAGACUGGCAACAAACGAAAAAGACACCCAAGCACAAAAGUGAAGAAGGUUCUGUCCACAAGCCCCAACACCACCACCAACGGGGGGCGAGAGACUGAGACAGUGGAGACUGUCCUGUCAGCCAGCCCUGCCAUCACCACCAACGACUGGCAAAAUACAAAACAGACGCCCAAGGACACACAACCAAUACCACCCCUCCCCCCACCUAUACUCCACAGUUGUACUUAAAAAGGACUUGACAAUGUUUUCUUAAAAAUGUGUUUUUUAUACAGUGUUUUAUUCUGUAUUUAUACUAUUCCUUGUGUGACUGUUUGUGUGAGCAUUGUUUUAGAGGCUGCAUAAACAGAUUUCAUUGUACGGUUUUAUUGCACAAUGACAAUAAAGAAUAAACAUGCCACUAUUUGCUUAUGUCAAACAGUUUCUAAAGAGGAAAAGGAUUGCCCCCACAACAGCCAGAAGGUGCACCAGUACACACACAUAAUCACACAAAGAAAGAUACGGUUAUUUUCAUGCACA
ensembl:lncRNA